AGCUAAAAUAAUUUCUGGGCGGUGAAAUUCCAACAUUUUUUAAGAUAGCUGGAUAAGAUAUAAAAGUAUUAAGUACUUAAAUCAAUUAUAAAGUGAUAAGAUUUUAUAACUAAAAAAAUUUUCUUUUAUUUAUUUUAUUGGACUAACCUCCUAAUAUAAAAAUAUUUUUACAUAAAUUAGAAUUUGGUUUUUGUGUUUUAUAUAUUAAAUUAUAAAAAUAAAUUAUAUAAUUUGUUAAUGUUUAAAUUAGUAAUUACACUAAAUUAAAAUAAGGAACUCGGCAAAUAAAGUUUUCGACUGUUUAUCAAAAACAUAGUUUAUUGUAUUUUAUAUUAGAUUGAAGCUGCCCAGUGAUAUAUUAUUUAACGGCCGCAGUACCUUGACUGUGCAAAGGUAGCAUAAUCACUUGGCCUUUAAUUGGGGUCUAGUAUGAAAGAGAGAACGAAGACUAACUGUCUUAUUUAAAUUAAUGUGAAUUUAUAGUGCAAGUGAAAAUACUUGCAAUUUAAUAAAAAAGACGAGAAGACCCUUAGAAUUUUGAAAAAAAAUUAUGCAGCUUAUAAUUUUUAUUUUUGUUGGGGCAACAUAGUAGCACACAUCAUUCGAGAAAUCUACUUAAAAUAAAUAUAAGAUUAAUCAAUUUAUAAUAAAUAUAAUUAAAUUACCUUAGGGAUAACAGCAUAAUUUUUUAAAGAUUGUGACCUCGAUGUUGGACUAGGAACUUAGUUAUUUAGCCGAUUACUUAAGCAUGUUCUGUUCGAACAGUUUUACCUACAUGAUCUGAGUUCA
rnacentral:rRNA from 1 species